rnacentral:rRNA from 1 species
UACGUAGGGGGCAAGCGUUAUCCGGAUUCACUGGGUGUAAAGGGAGCGUAGACGGAGCAGCAAGUCUGAUGUGAAAACCCGGGGCUCAACCCCGGGACUGCAUUGGAAACUGUUGAUCUGGAGUGCCGGAGAGGUAAGCGGAAUUCCUAGUGUAGCGGUGAAAUGCGUAGAUAUUAGGAGGAACACCAGUGGCGAAGGCGGCUUACUGGACGGUAACUGACGUUGAGGCUCGAAAGCGUGGGGAGCAAACAGGAUUAGAUACCCUGGUAGUC